UUUGGGAGCUUUUAUUUUGUUUGUGUGACCUUUGACUUCCCAUGAAGUCACUUCCUGUAGCUGCGCGCUAUUUUCCUCAGUCGCCUAGAGGCCCCGCUGAGGAGAGGUGAGCGUACGCUAGUGUUCUCAGUUACAGAGCAAAUAAACACAGUUAAAGUAACUAAAAGUAAUUCAAACACUGCUCGUUCCCUUUGUGCAUUUUGUCUCAUAGUUCUGUUAGAUAUUUUAGUGUGAAUUAAUGUUUCUCUGUCGAGUACAGCACUUUAUUGUAACAUGCUAGUUAGCAUGUCUCAGAUGAGAGCAUAGGAGCAUGCACGUGGCUUCUCAUGUGGUCCGCUAUCCUUCUCUCUCCCUUGAAGGUGUUCAUGCAGAAGUCCAGUAAAGUGAAGUUGCUGUACUGUUUUGUUUUUAUUUUAAACAGGUGUUCAUGCAGAAGUCCAGUAAAGUGAAGUUGCUGUACUGUUUUGUUUUUAUUUUAAACAGGUGUUCAUGCAGAAGUCCAGUAAAGUGAAGUUGCUGUACUGUUUUGUUUUUAUUUUAAACAGUUCUGGGAGAAUAAAUCCACCCAGCUGGCAAAGUGAGAGCUGACUCCUCUGGUCAUUCGCACAACACAACGCAGAGAACUAACGGCAAUAAGAGUUUAAGGCCAGACCGGCUACACUGACAUUCAUAACAGCAGCAUUAUUAGAUACACAACAUAAU
ensembl:lncRNA